CAGCAGCCGCGGGAAUACGGAGGGUGCAAGCGUUAAUCGGAAUUACUGGGCGUAAAGCGUGCGUAGGCGGUUCGUUAAGUCUGUUGUGAAAGCCCCGGGCUCAACCUGGGAAUGGCAAUGGAUACUGGCGAGCUAGAGUGUGUCAGAGGAUGGUGGAAUUCCCGGUGUAGCGGUGAAAUUCGUAGAUAUUGGGAAGAACACCAGUGGCGAAGGCGGCUCACUGGACCGACACUGACGCUGAGGCGCGAAAGCGUGGGGAGCAAACAGGAUUAGAUACCCCAGUAGUCCCUGUCUCUUAUAC
rnacentral:rRNA from 1 species